AACAUCGCGCACCUGCGGGAACCUGCGGAGGGAUCAUUACCGAGUGCGGGCCCUCUGGGUCCAACCUCCCACCCGUGUUUAUCGUACCUUGUUGCUUCGGCGGGCCCGCCACACCGGCCGCCGGGGGGCACCUGCCCCCGGGCCCGCGCCCGCCGAAGACACCCCUGAACGCUGUCUGAAGAAUGCAGUCUGAGCGAAUAGCUUUAAUUAGUUAAAACUUUUAACAAUGGAUCUCAGAUC
rnacentral:misc_RNA from 1 species